rnacentral:rRNA from 1 species
GACGAACGCUGGCGGCGUGCCUAAUACAUGCAAGUAGAACGCUGAAGAGAGGAGCUUGCUCUUCUUGGCUGAGUUGCGAACGGGUGAGUAACGCGUAGGUAACCUGCCUGGUAGCGGGGGAUAGCUAUUGGAAACGAUAGCUAAUACCGCAUAAGAUUGAUUAUUGCAUGAUAAUUAAUUGAAAGAUGCCACUGCAUCACUACCAGAUGGACCUGCGUUGUAUUAGCUAGUUGGGGAGGUAACGGCUCACCAAGGCGAGGAUACAUAGCCGACCUGAGAGGGGGAGCGGCCACACUGGGACGGAGACACGGCCCAGAACCCUAGGGGAGGGAGCCGGCGGGAAUCUUCGGGGAUGGGGGGAACCCUGACCGUGGCACGCCGCGUGAGUGAAGAAUGUUUUCGGAUCGCAAAGGUCUGUUGUAAGAGAAGAACGGGAGUGAGAGUGGAAAGUUCACACUGUGACGGUAUCUUACUAGAAAGCGACGGCUAACUACGUG